GGUAGACGGGGGUGAGAGGCCUGGGUAAUACGGGGGUGGUAAGCGUAAAUCGGAAUUACGGGGCGUAAAGCGAGCGUAGGUGGAUUGAUAAGUCAGAUGUGAAAGCCCCGGGCUUAACCGGGGAACUGCAUCUGAUACUGUUAAGCUAGAGUAGGUGAGAGGGAAGUAGAAUUCCAGGUGUAGCGGUGAAAUGCGUAGAGAUCUGGAGGAAUACCGAUGGCGAAGGCAGCUUCCUGGCAUCAUACUGACACUGAGGCUCGAAAGCGUGGGUAGCAAACAGGAUUAGAUACCCCUGUAGUC
rnacentral:rRNA from 1 species